rnacentral:sRNA from 1 species
AAAAUGGGAUAAUACCCACACAAGCUAGGGUGCACAUGGUUAUUGGAAGGUUCCCACGAGAUCAUACAUGGAAAAGGGCUUUGUAAAAGGCAAAGUUAUGUCCGAGUAAGGGACAUUAUCAUUAAAUGGCAGCUGGAAGCUGUAAUUUGGUUCUGCCCUCUCACGCCCGCUGCUGCUGCUACUCCAGACGUCUUGCAGAGUGGGCAGGAUCUUAUGACCCGAUAGGUGCAGGACCCAUCUGAACACGGAGACCAGGAAUGGGGUUCCAUGGAGGCCUAGCUGGCACUGCACCCAGGCAUGAGGACACAUCCAGUAAGAAGACCUGCCUCAAGAGGUGCACUGCGGUGACCAGUGGAGGUGACUGGUUGGAGCCUGGAAUUGGAGGCAGAUUCCAAGCUCUGGUGGACAAACUCCCCAGGCCUGGUGGGAAUCACAGCUGGGGCAGACCUCAUCCUGGCUGCCUGGCCACAGGCCCCCACUCUCUGCCACUGGUGGUAGGACGAUGCCUGUGUGGAGAGCUGGCUUCUCUGCUCCCGCCUGGUCCACCACUUGGCUAGAGUUCAGAGACAGGAAGUGAUUGG